AACGAACGCUGGCGGCAUGCCUAACACAUGCAAGUCGAACGAGACCUUCGGGUCUAGUGGCGCACGGGUGCGUAACGCGUGGGAACCUGCCCUUAGGUUCGGAAUAACUCCCCGAAAGGGGUGCUCAUACCGGAUAAUGUCUUCCGACCAAAGAUUUAUCGCCUUUGGAUGGGCCCGCGUUGGAUUAGCGAGUUGGUUGGGUAAAAGCCUACCAAGGCGACGAUCCAUAGCUGGUCUGAGAGGAUGAUCAGCCACACUGGGACUGAGACACGGCCCAGACUCCUACGGGAGGGAGCAGUGGGGAAUAUUGGACAAUGGGCGAAAGCCUGAUCAAGCAAUGCCGCGUGAGUGAUGAAGGCCUUAGGGUUGUAAAGCUCUUUUACCCGGGAUGAGAAUGACAGUACCGGGAGAAUAAGCACCGGCUAACUCCGUG
rnacentral:rRNA from 1 species